rnacentral:rRNA from 1 species
UUUUCUUGAGGUUAGCGGCGGAUGGGUGGGUAACACGUGGGCAACCUACCUGUAAGACUGGGAUAACUUACGGAAACGUGAGCUAAUACCGGAUAGUUUCACUUCUCGCAUGAGAGGUGAAGGAAAGAUGGCUUUUAGCUAUCACUUACAGAUGGGCCCGCGGCGCAUUAGCUAGUUGGUGGGGUAAAGGCCUACCAAGGCGACGAUGCGUAGCCGACCUGAGAGGGUGAUCGGCCACACUGGGACUGAGACACGGCCCAGACUCCUACGGGAGGCAGCAGUAGGGAAUCUUCCGCAAUGGACGAAAGUCUGACGGAGCAACGCCGCGUGAGCGAAGAAGGUCUUCGGAUCGUAAAGCUCUGUUGUUAGGGAAGAACAAGUACCGGAGUAACUGUCGGUACCUUGACGGUACCUAACCAGAAAGCCACGGCUAACUACGUGCCAGCAGCCGCGGUAAUACGUAGGUGGCAAGCGUUGUCCGGAAUCAUUGGGCGUAAAGCGCGCGCAGGCGGUCCUUUAAGUCUGAUGUGAAAUCUUGCGGCUCAACCGCAAGCGGUCAUUGGAAACUGGGGGACUUGAGUGCAGGAGAGGAAAGCGGAAUUCCAUGUGUAGCGGUGAAAUGCGUAGAGAUAUGGAGGAACACCAGUGGCGAAGGCGGCUUUCUGGCCUGUAACUGACGCUGAGGCGCGAAAGCGUGGGGAGCAAACAGGGAUUACAUCACCCCUGGCAUGUCCACCGCCGUUAAACGAUGAGUGCCUAAGUGUUGGAGGGGUUUUCCGCCCUUUCAGUUGCUUGCAAUGCUAAACGGCCAAUU